CCUACGGGGGGCAGCAGUGGGGAAUAUUGCGCAAUGGGCGAAAGCCUGACGCAGCGACGCCGCGUGAGUGAUGAAGGUCUUCGGAUCGUAAACCUCUGUCAGCAGGGAAGAACGGUCACUGAGCUAAUCAGCAGUGACUUGACGGUACCUGCCAAGGAAGCACCGGCUAACUACGUGCCAGCAGCCGCGGUAAUACGGAGGGUGCGAGCGUUAACCGGAAUUACUGGGCGUAAAGCGCUCGUAGGCGGUAUGUCAAGUCAAGGGUGAAAGCCCCGGGCUCAACGGGGGAACUGCCUUUGAAACUGGCAAACUUGAGUGUAUGAGAGGAAAGUGGAAUUCCAGGUGUAGGGGUGAAAUCCGUAGAUAUCUGGAGGAACAUCAGUGGCGAAGGCGACUAUCUGGCACAUAACUGACGCUGAGGAGCGAAAGCGUGGGUAGCAAACAGGAUUAGAUACCCUUGUAGUC
rnacentral:rRNA from 1 species